rnacentral:tRNA from 1 species
GUAGGCAUAGUUUUAAAAAAAUACUAGAUUGUGGUUCUAGAGAUGGUGGUUAAAAUCCUCCUGCCCACC